ensembl:antisense 5330438I03Rik RIKEN cDNA 5330438I03 gene
AUUCCCGGACCCAGCUCCAGAGAGAUGGGGGUGAGCCCUCACGGGUUUCUUGGCGGGCUCCUUUUUCCUCCUCUUCUCCGAGUUGCUGUGGAAGGACAGGUCACGCCCACGGUAGGACGGGCCCCGGCUCAGCUCUCCGCGGCUCAGCUCCAGCUCGCUGUAGGGUGGCAGCGCGUCCUCAUCCGCCGCGUCGUCCUCGUCUUCGCCCUCGCUGGCCCCAGCUUUGUAUGUGGUUGGCGGCGACCAGGCGUAGUAGGAUGCGCUGCGCGGGCCCAGCUGCGCGCCCAGCUUGGACGGCGUCUCCAGGCUGCCCCCGCGGCUGCUGCUCUCCGGCCGCGCCUGGCGCUCCAGCACGCUGCUCAGGUACGAGUGAUCGUACUUGGGCGCGGUGCCCGGGGUCCGGCUCACCAGGCGCGGCAGAGGCGCAUCCUCUGGCGGCCGGCGGCGUGCGGGUGCGGGGCUGUAGGUCCAGCCACGCUCCCCGUCUCCCGGCGGCUCGCGACUGCGUCCGCGCCCGUAGUACUCAUCCAGCGAGCCGUCCUGGUAGAAGGCACCGUGGGCCCGCGACUCCGAGCGCUCGAAGCGGCUCCCCGCCCGCGCCUCGUGGCUGUUGCCAUUGGCGCGCCGCGACCGCUGGCCGUACGAGUCUGCGAAGGCUGCCAGCUCGUCCAUCGACACGGCCGGCACGCCCGUGGCAAAGUUCUUCCGCGACAGCAUCUCAGAUUUGGAGCGCUGCUGGCUGCGGGCAGAUGGUCACUGGUUAUUGCAUGGAAACCUUGCAGCGCGCCCCUGGAGUUUCAGGGGCCCAGGUGUAUCUUACCCCUCAGCCCAGCAGGAUGAAUCAACUUUGGCACCUUUUGUGCUGCGAGUUCAGCCAGAGCAAUCCUGGCUCUCUCCUGAGUUUGUGUGGAAGACCAGAAUGGUUGUGUAUCUGAAAAUACCUUGUGAUCUGUGUAGUGCUGAAACACACAGAUCAGCUUGUUAUCGUGUUGAGACCCCUGGGUGACAGCCACAUGUUUUACUUCACCCACCCUCACAACCACAGCAAACAGCAACACACAGCUCUGGUCCCAGGAGACCAGGAAUAAUUGUUAACAUAGAAAGGAUUGUAUCUCUCUCCGGGGCAGGGACCAAGUUGCCUAUUAAGUCAAGAGGCCUGAGACCUCUGCAGUGGGUAAAGGAAAUGGGGGGGGGGGGGUAGGUACCUACUGUCCUCCAAGGACAGAUAAUGAGUGCAGGCAUGCCAUUCAGGAAUCGAGCUGUCACACAGAUUAUUAAAUGUUGCUUGGACUUAUCACCCUGGGCAAGUUCCUUAGCAUCUGGAACUUUCUAUUUCCUGGCCUUAAAAUAGGAACAUAAACAGUAGCUGCUUUUUAGAAGUAUAAGGAUUAAUUACAAGAGAUGGUGGCAUGAUCAUCAUUCUUAUGACAAAUGAUCAGGGUGGUGAAGAUAGUGGGUUCUUUAAAGGUUCUAGGAUAAAACAUAUGGAGAGAGUGUCUCAUUACGGGACCCAAGACACUCAUUUCAAAAAGGCUUAACUGGUUACUUCUCACACACAGUAUCACAAGGGUGUAAUAUAUGUAAGAGAUAUUCCAUAGUCUAUAGAAACAGAAGAACAGAUACACAGUGGUCCCUUCCCACUCAUGGCCGUCACCUGUGCCUGAAGCUCUCACGGUCCUCUUUGUUAUACUCCAAGGCUGGCCCCCUGUUGGUCCCACUGUUGCCUCCCAUGACACCUGACCAGUAGUCAGGAUUGCUUUCCAGGUCUCCAGACAUAGGGAACUGCUUAUUCCGCAUCUGGUGGUAAGACUGGCGGAAAUUGCUGUCAUCAUCAUGCAGGGAGCUGAGUUCCGAGAUGGUGUUGUUAUCUGCAGGAACAAAAGCAGGCACCAUGGUUUUCUAAAUGAUUGGAAGGGAGUGCUGCUAAGGGCUAUGAUCGCAUAUUCCAGAAUCUUCUGCCUGGGAGCCAUGGUCCUGACCAGUGUGAGCUGUAGAUGAUCACAGGUGGUAUUUGUGUUACUCAGCAGGAAUUGGCUCCAUCUCAAACCCAACUUGCUUACAGAGAGGGAGGCUUCCUACAUGCUGUUCUUGGAAUAGGGAGACAAUUGUCUUUGUUCUACCUAAGGCAGGCUUCCCGGAUCUCCCUUGUUCAAAUGUUUUUCUCUGUCCUAUAUAAUCACUGCGGUGAACUUCAAUGAUUCAGGCUAUGUUGGGCCAAGAGAGGAAGGGGAAAAAAAAAGCCACUACUAAUAGCAUGUUCUCUACUGCUGGCCCGGUCCCAAAAGGGGGUCUUUAGAGCCAGUAUGAACCCCGUGCUUUAGAAGAGGCCCAUUCUGCUCUCCAAAUGGCUCAAAGUCAAGGUGAAGGACAUAUACCUUGGUUUCAGUUCACUUACCUUUUAGACCACGCUCCUGCUGUGUAAUGCCCUGCCCAAGGCUCACCAGACCUACUUAAGGCCUGGGUAGACCUGUUUCCCUCCCUAUCAAAGGAUUGCAGGUGUUUGUGGUUGUGAGUGGCUAGGCCAGACGUUUGGAAGGUGGACUUAGCCUUUGUGUCCACUGGGCUGUAGCUUGAACUCUGGCCCCUGCCUAAAAAAUGUAAGAAAGAUGCGGUCACAGAUUUCUCACUUCCUAGCUUUGUGCAGAAGUACUUAUGAACUAGGACCAGAGUUAUGAUGUAGCUAGAAAAAUAACAGAAAUUUCGAUUAUUUUUUAAAAACUUAGAAAUAUAUUGAAUUUCCUUUUACUUAAAUCUAGGGAACCUAUUUGUAAUGUAACUGAUCCACUUGUUUUCUAAAUCUUUUAACUGAGACUUUGAAAAUAUUAUUAAAGACAACAUUUACUAGUC